GAUGAAGAACGUAGCGAAAUGCGAUAAAUAAUGUGAAUUGCAGAAUUCAGUGAAUCAUCGAAUCUUUGAACGCACAUUGCGCCCGCCAGUAUUCUGGCGGGCAUGCCUGUUCGAGCGUCAUUUCAACCCUCAGGCCCCCAGUGCCUGGUGUUGGGGAUCGGCCCAGCCUUCCUGUAAGGCCGCCGGCCCCGAAAUCUAGUGGCGGUCUCGCUGUAGUCCUCCUCUGCGUAGUAGCACAACCUCGCAGUUGGAACGCGGCGGUGGCCAUGCCGUUAAACACCCCACUUCUGAAAGUUGACCUCGGAUCAGGUAGGAAUACCCGCUGAACUUAAGCAUAUCAAUAAGCGGAGGA
rnacentral:misc_RNA from 1 species